rnacentral:tRNA from 1 species
GCCCACGUGGCGGAAUUGGUAGACGCGCAUGGUUCAGGUCCAUGUGCCGUAAAGGUGUGGGGGUUCGAGUCCCUCCGUGGGCACCA